CUACGGGUUGCAGCAGUGAGGAAUUUUGCGCAAUGGGGGAAACCCUGACGCAGCAACGCCGCGUGAGCGAAGAAGGCCCUCGGGUCGUAAAGCUCUGUCAAGUGGGAAAAAAAUUCUUUGAUGAACAGUCAAAGGACUUGAUGGUACCACUGGAGGAAGCACCGGCUAACUCCGUGCCAGCAGCCGCGGUAAUACGGAGGGUGCAAGCGUUGUUCGGAAUUACUGGGCGUAAAGAGCGUGUAGGCGGUUUGACAAGUCAGAUGUGAAAGCCCCGGGCUCAACCCGGGAAGUGCAUUUGAAACUGUUUCACUAGAGUAUGGGAGAGGAGAUUGGAAUUCCUGGUGUAGAGGUGAAAUUCGUAGAUAUCAGGAGGAACACCCGUGGCGAAGGCGAUUCUCUGGACCAAUACUGACGCUGAGACGCGAAAGCGUGGGGAGCAAACAGGAUUAGAUACCCCCGUAGUC
rnacentral:rRNA from 1 species